rnacentral:antisense_RNA from 1 species
AUUAAUAUAUGUCUUUUGAAGCAUUUUACAAUGGUGUUUAGAAGCAUCUAAAUUUGUAUAAACUAAAAUAUCAACAAUAAACCCCCGCCAGCGAAAAUCAAUUAGCUAGCGGAACAAUUUAAACAUCUUAAAGUGAGGUGACAGGAUACUUCUAUAACUUGGCUUUAAAAAUAAUGAAGACAAUGAUUCGACAGGCAUUCAAUGUAUUUCACUUACUAUUGUUGCAAUACAUGUAGGAAUACUUUCUGGCAACUCUACCCAAAGUUUAUGGAUUACUUUCCUUGCUUUAAGAUCAGAUGAAACAUUCCUUAAAGUUUUUUCAUCCGGGCAAUUAAGAACAACUUUUCUCAUUUGGUUAAUUUCUUUAAGAUAUUCUUUGACAGAGUCUUCUCCUAAAUUUUCAAAAAUAGCUGCGGAACUAAGUAAAAUUAAAUGUAUUUAAGGACAAAAUAUAAAUUCUGUAAUAUAUAACUAACCUUGCAUGACAAGCCUGAGCAAUAAUUGAACCGGUACUCCAUCCAAGAUCUGAACGAACUAGAAUAUAUUGAAUGAUUUGUUCUUUCUGAUCCAUUUAUUUAACUGAAUUUAUUUAAUAUCGAACACCUCCCGCUCAACCAAAACAAAAAUUUUGAUAUAUUACAAGACUAUUUGAUAAAUAGUCACAAAUUUUUCUAUAUGAGGAAUAUAUCUUACAAAAUAUAUGAUUUCUUUCAUUAUUCCUUUAUAUUAGUCAAUAUUUCGUGGCAUAUCAAAAUAAUUGAAUUUAUGAUGCAAGGCAUUCGCCACAAAAUUGAUGAUCAUGAAUCUGCUGAUUAUCAUUUUUAACAUAGAGUUGGUUACACUCUGAAUGCUGGCUAUUGCAACAUUUAUGAGUAUGAAUUUCUCUUGGUACAUGGCAGUUUACUUGCUGAUUUUGUAAAUGCUGAUGUUGGAUAUACGACUGCGGAGGAACAUAUUGCUGGUUAGUGUCAUUCGCAUUUAUAAAAAUAUUUGAUUGAAAUUCAUUAAUUGCCUUUUCUUGAUCUGAAAUUUAUAAAAAAAUCAAGAUAAUUUACGUAAAAAAUAAACCAAGAAAUCAUUAAUCAAAAUUGUGUUACUUUACAACUUACCUAUGAAUGACUUAGCUUUGGGUGUAAAUCUAUGCGAGGUUCUAAGAAGCGUCCACAUCAGUAUGAAAACUGCAACGAACAAAAAAAUGGCUAAGGUAACAAUAACUGGGACGAUCCAGGGGGCCAACAUAUUUGUUUUAAUUAGCACGAAUCCUUCUCUGUUUCCUUCUAGUUACAAUUGAUCAAAGGAUUACGUUGGGUAGACAUAACGUAUUUCUGACUUUAUGUGAUUUAGAGAUUUAAAAAGGGGAUAAAUACUUAUGGAAUAAAUGGAAAUUAAUGGCAAAAAUUUGUGUGAUAUUACUAAUAAUUGUAAUGUACUAAUAGAAUUU